rnacentral:tRNA from 2 species
GGAGAAUUACCCAAGUGGUUGAAGGGGUCGGUCUUGAAAACCGAUAGGGGAUGCAAGUCCCGCUAGAGUUCGAAUCUCUAAUUCUCCGCCA